GUUUGUAAACACUGCUGUUUUUUCUGAUAAAAUAUAGAGCUAAAUUCUGCACCAAGGACACCGAAUGUUCAUUAGACCAAAAUGCUUUGAUUUGCUAUACUUGGUCAGAAGGGAUCCUCUACACAGAUAUCACUCCUAUCUGCAGAGUACUGACGCCAGCGAGGGGAAGGAACCCAGGAAAAGUUGCUGGGUAGGAAACCUGAUUCACAUCAACACUGUCAGAAGUGUAGGUUCUGUGCCUCCUGUCUGGGAGCUGACAAGCAGCUCCUGAUUGCCAGUCAUCUGUCACUGGCAUGAAUGGACAGUGAAAACCUACUAUCCAGCUCUGGGUUUAAAGACGGGGUUGGCUUAUGCAUUUAUGGAGAACAGCUCUGCUGCC